CCUACGGGAGGCAGCAGUGGGGAAUAUUGCACAAUGGGGGAAACCCUGAUGCAGCGACGCCGCGUGAGUGAAGAAGUAUUUCGGUAUGUAAAGCUCUAUCAGCAGGGAAGAAAGAAAUGACGGUACCUGACUAAGAAGCCCCGGCUAACUACGUGCCAGCAGCCGCGGUAAUACGUAGGGGGCAAGCGUUAUCCGGAUUUACUGGGUGUAAAGGGAGCGUAGACGGCGAUGCAAGUCUGAAGUGAAAGGCGGGGGCCCAACCCCCGGACUGCUUUGGAAACUGUAUGGCUGGAGUGCAGGGGAGGUAAGUGGAAUUCGUAGUGUAGCGGUGAAAUGCGUAGAUAUUAGGAGGAACACCAGUGGCGAAGGCGGCUUACUGGACUGUAACUGACGUUGAGGCUCGAAAGCGUGGGGAGCAAACAGGAUUAGAUACCCCUGUAGUC
rnacentral:rRNA from 1 species